rnacentral:rRNA from 1 species
AACGAACGCUGGCGGCAGGCCGAACACAGGCAAGGCGAACGAGACCGGAGGGGCGAGGGGCGCAAGGGGGGGGAACGCGGGGGAACCGGAGCGGAGGGGGGGAAGAAACCACCGAAAGGGGGGCGAAGACCGGAGAAGGGCGGCGGACCAAAGAGGGAGCGCCUUUGGAUGGGCCCGCGUUGGAUUAGCUAGUUGGUAGGGUAAAAGCCUACCAAGGCGACGAUCCAUAGCUGGUCUGAGAGGAUGAUCAGCCACACUGGGACUGAGACACGGCCCAGACUCCUACGGGAGGCCGCAGUGGGGAAUAUUGGACAAUGGGCGAAAGCCUGAUCCAGCACUGCCGCGUGAGUGAUGCCGGCCUUAGGGUUGUAAAGCUCUUUUAACCGGGAUGAUAAUGACAGUACCGGGAGAAUAAGCGCCGGCUAACUCCGUG